AGGUACUUGGUCGAGUCUGGUUUAUGGCGCUCGCCUUGAAAGCGAGUACUUUUUUUGAAGUCGUCGGUUCGAAUCCGGCAGUACCUG
rnacentral:tRNA from 1 species